rnacentral:rRNA from 1 species
UACGUAGGGUGCGAGCGUUAAUCGGAAUUACUGGGCGUAAAGCGUGCGCAGGCGGCUGUGCAAGUCAGAUGUGAAAUCCCCGGGCUCAACCUGGGAAUUGCAUUUGUGACUGCACGGCUAGAGUGUGGCAGAGGGGGGUAGAAUUCCACGUGUAGCAGUGAAAUGCGUAGAGAUGGGGAGGAAUACCGAUGGCGAAGGCAGCCCCCUGGGAUAACACUGACGCUCAUGCACGAAAGCGUGGGGAGCAAACAGG